CUUAACACAUGCAAGUCGAGGGGCAGCAUGGUCUUAGCUUGCUAAGGCCGAUGGCGACCGGCGCACGGGUGAGUAACACGUAUCCAACCUGCCGUCUACUCUUGGACAGCCUUCUGAAAGGAAGAUUAAUACAAGAUGGCAUCAUGAGUCCGCAUGUUCACAUGAUUAAAGGUAUUCCGGUAGAUGAUGGGGAUGCGUUCCAUUAGAUAGUAGGCGGGGUAACGGCCCACCUAGUCUUCGAUGGAUAGGGGUUCUGAGAGGAAGGUCCCCCACAUUGGAACUGAGACACGGUCCAAACCCCUACGGGAGGCAGCAGUGAGGAAUAUUGGUCAAUGGGCGAGAGCCUGAACCAGCCAAGUAGCGUGAAGGAUGACUGCCCUAUGGGUUGUAAACUUCUUUUAUAAAGGAAUAAAGUCGGGUAUGGAUACCCGUUUGCAUGUACUUUAUGAAUAAGGAUCGGCUAACUCCGUGCCAGCAGCCGCGGUAAUACGGAGGAUCCGAGCGUUAUCCGGAUUUAUUGGGUUUAAAGGGAGCGUAGAUGGAUGUUUAAGUCAGUUGUGAAAGUUUGCGGCUCAACCGUAAAAUUGCAGUUGAUACUGGAUAUCUUGAGUGCAGUUGAGGCAGGCGGAAUUCGUGGUGUAGCGGUGAAAUGCUUAGAUAUCACGAAGAACUCCGAUUGCGAAGGCAGCCUGCUAAGCUGCAACUGACAUUGAGGCUCGAAAGUGUGGGUAUCAAACAGGAUUAGAUACCCUGGUAGUCCACACGGUAAACGAUGAAUACUCGCUGUUUGCGAUAUACUGCAAGCGGCCAAGCGAAAGCGUUAAGUAUUCCACCUGGGGAGUACGCCGGCAACGGUGAAACUCAAAGGAAUUGACGGGGGCCCGCACAAGCGGAGGAACAUGUGGUUUAAUUCGAUGAUACGCGAGGAACCUUACCCGGGCUUAAAUUGCAGAUGAAUUACGGUGAAAGCCGUAAGCCGCAAGGCAUCUGUGAAGGUGCUGCAUGGUUGUCGUCAGCUCGUGCCGUGAGGUGUCGGCUUAAGUGCCAUAACGAGCGCAACCCUUGUUGUCAGUUACUAACAGGUUCCGCUGAGGACUCUGACAAGACUGCCAUCGUAAGAUGUGAGGAAGGUGGGGAUGACGUCAAAUCAGCACGGCCCUUACGUCCGGGGCUACACACGUGUUACAAUGGGGGGUACAGAGGGCCGCUACCACGCGAGUGGAUGCCAAUCCCCAAAACCUCUCUCAGUUCGGACUGGAGUCUGCAACCCGACUCCACGAAGCUGGAUUCGCUAGUAAUCGCGCAUCAGCCACGGCGCGGUGAAUACGUUCCCGGGCCUUGUACACACCGCCCGUCAAGCCAUGGGAGCCGGGGGUACCUGAAGUGCGUAACCGCGAGGAGCGCCCUAGGGUAAAACUGGUGACUGGGGCUAA
rnacentral:rRNA from 1 species